rnacentral:rRNA from 1 species
GAUGAACGCUGGCGGCGUGCCUAACACAUGCAAGUCGAGCGUGAUUCUAGUAAGUGGAGACUUCGGUCAAAGCGAGCUAGAUGAAAGCGGCGGACGGGUGAGUAACGCGUGGGCAACCUGCCCCAUACACGAGGAUAGCCACUGGAAACGGUGAUUAAUACUCGAUAAGACCACACUGCCACAUGGCAGAGCGGCCAAAGAUUUAUCGGUAUGGGAUGGGCCCGCGUCUGAUUAGCUAGUUGGUGAGGUAACGGCUCACCAAGGCGACGAUCAGUAACCGACCUGAGAGGGCGGACGGUCACACUGGAACUGAGACACGGUCCAGACUCCUACGGGAGGCUG